rfam:Hordeum vulgare subsp. vulgare, WGS project CAJW01000000 data, contig: morex_contig_442309
CAUAUACCCCCUUCGUCCGGAAAUACUUGUUCUAGAGAUGAAUGUAUCUAGACUUAUUUUAGUUAUAGAUACAUUCAUUAUAUUCAUUUUUAAGACAAGUAUUUCCGGACGGAGGGAGUAGUAU